rnacentral:RNase_P_RNA from 1 species
UUGGUGACAAGAAAACCGAAGAGCCAACGCACUGGUGCUUGUCACCAAAAUCAGCUUUGGGAAGGUCUGAGGUAAAAUCUUCUUUCCUCGAAAGGGGGAGGGCUUUAAUCGCCCGUGAAUGAACAGAAAGUGCUCUUUUUACCGGGUUUGCCCAAGAAGUGUGUCGUAUAGACACACUGAGGUUGUACGGUAGAAGGAGUUGAGAAUGUUCACGAUUGGCAGUCUUUAGUGAGAUGGUUUUGCGAACUCAAUUCAGACUACUCUGUGACCAA